UGAUAUGGGAGGGGGAAGAAUCUGCAGACAUAUUUACUUUCUUUAAGGAUAAGCAAGCAUAAGAUUAGAAAUAAAUGUGGCUUUUCUAUUUCUAAACAUUUAAAGCAUAUUUUCUUAUAAAAAAUGUUCAAGAAUUUUUUUUUUUUAACUCUCAUCUAGAAGAUUGACAGCAGAAUUUAUAUCUUAAUGUCUUGCGUCCAGGGCAUCUACAACAUUACCUGGGCUGCUAGUCCUUCG
rnacentral:misc_RNA from 1 species